GUAUUAAUGCGUGAGUGCGUAUACACGCGUGUGGAUCGAGCAGUGUGGAGUGCUCUUUAUUUAGAGUAUAUUUAUAUAUAACUGUUUGAACGCGUCGAGAUCAUGAGCAGACGCACGCUUGUCGCGACAGCCCAUCGGAAGCAGUAAUAGUUCUGGAGACUGUAGUCGCAUUAUCUUACAUACGUAUGAUGCGUGAGUGUGUCAUAUAUACGUACGUUUGUGCUUGUGCUGUCGAGCGCUUUUAAUUGUAUACAACAUUUUUAUAUGAGUAGCUGGUGAUUCAAGAUCUAUUUUUUGACCUAUAUAAGAGAGAGAUUUGCAGAAGAAAAGAAAUAUACCAAAGUAUUAAUAAGGAUCAAACAUAUUCUUGAUGUAUGUACUCGGGUCGCGAGGCUGAGCAAUAUUCUAAGGAAAGUAUUAUACAAUUGAAUCGUUUUAUAUUGUGCGCAACGCUCAUCGCGACAGCCAUGAUGUACAUGAUUAUCUUACAUACGAUGCGUGAAUUUGUCCUUGGACAUUAAAAAUAUCAUCAAGGGCAAUGAAUAUGUCUUAACAUAUGGGAUCAACAAUUGUUGUAUCAAAUUCAAAAAACCACCAUUUGAAAAAUUUGACC